CGCACGGUGGCUUAGUGGUUAGCAUGUUUGACUCACACCUUCAGAGUUGGGGGUUCGAUUCCCACCACUGCCC